AGUGAACGCUGGCGGUAGGCCUAACACAUGCAAGUCGAACGGCAGCACAGUAAGAGCUUGCUCUUACGGGUGGCGAGUGGCGGACGGGUGAGGAAUACAUCGGAAUCUACUUUUUCGUGGGGGAUAACGUAGGGAAACUUACGCUAAUACCGCAUACGACCUACGGGUGAAAGCAGGGGAUCUUCGGACCUUGCGCGAUUGAAUGAGCCGAUGUCGGAUUAGCUAGUUGGCGGGGUAAAGGCCCACCAAGGCGACGAUCCGUAGCUGGUCUGAGAGGAUGAUCAGCGACACUGGAACUGGGACACGGUCCAGACUCCUACGGGAGGGAGCAGUGGGGAACAUUGGACAAUGGGCGCAAGCCUGAUCCAGCCAUACCGCGUGGGUGAAGAAGGCCUUCGGGUUGUAAAGCCCUUUUGUUGGGAAAGAAAAGCAGCAGGUUAAUACCCCGCUGUUCUGACGGUACCCAAAGAAUAAGCACCGGCUAACUUCGUG
rnacentral:rRNA from 1 species